GGCGGCGUAGGGCGCGGGCGGCAGGUUCGUGGGCGGCAGCAGGCACCGGCGAGGGCAGCCCCCUCUCGGCGGUCCCUCCGUGCCCUGGAGAUGCUGUGAUGCUGUUUAGCCGUGCCCUCCCUGGGGCUCAGCUCAGGUCCGUGCCCAGCGGCUGGUGGAGUGUGGCGAGUUGUGCUUCCUGCCGGGCGGGAGCUGCCUUGGGAAGCUGCUCUGUCCCCACGGCUGUGCCGAGCUGGGAGCUUGGACAGCAGGAUGUCGAGUGCCACCGUGUCCCUGAGGUCCCCCUUUCUCCUGUUGGGAGAGCACGAGGCGGAUGGAGAGGAUCCCCAGGCAUCUGCAGGAACAAGGGACUUCUAUGACUCCAACUUGCCUACUGCAGCUGUAGGAUGGACUUUCAAGAUAGCAUUGGGAAUGUGCCAGCACUCUCCUGCUGAAGUUUUUGUCUGCUGUAUUUGAACACAAUGAGUAAAACUGAAGUCAGGUCUGUUCUGGAGUGUGUUA